rnacentral:rRNA from 1 species
AGCCGCGGUAAUUCCAGCUCCAAUAGCGUAUACUAAAGUUGUUGCGGUUAAAAAGCUCGUAGUUGGAUCUUGGAAUGUGUUCAAGCGGGUCAGCUUCUGGCUGUGCGCUGCUUGACGUGUUCUUCUAUUUGGUUUUGGUGCGGUGCGCUUAACUGCGUGUCGCUCCCGGCCGAAACGUUUACCUUGAAAAAAUUAGAGUGUUCAAAGCAGACCUGUUUGAGUCUGAAUAUUCGUGCAUGGAAUAAUGAAAUAUGAAUUCGGUUCUAUUUUGUUGGUUUUCGGAACUCGAGUUAAUGAUCAAGAGGGACAGACGGGGGCAUUCGUACUCUGCCGUUAGAGGUGAAAUUCUUGGAUCGGCGGAAGACGCGCAACUGCGAAAGCAUUUGCCAAGAAUGUUUUCUUUAAUCAAGAACGAUAGUCGGAGGUUCGAAGACGAUCAGAUACCGUCCUAGUUUCGACUGUAAACUAUGCCAGCUAACGAUCAGACAGAGUUCUCUACGACUUGUCUGGCAGUUUCCGGGAAACCAAAGCGUUUGGGUUCCGGGGGAAGUAUGGUUGCAAAGCUGAAACUUAAAGGAAUUGACGGAAGGGCACCACCAGGAGUGGAGCCUGCGGCUUAAUUUGACUCAACACGGGGAAACUCACCCGGCCCGGACACAGUGAGGAUUGACAGAUUGAGAGUUCUUUCUUGAUUCUGUGGGUGGUGGUGCAUGGCCGUUCUUAGUUGGUGGAGCGAUUUGUCUGGUUAAUUCCGAUAACGAACGAGACUCUGGCAUGUUAAAUAGUCGCGGAAGUGCGUAUGCACUUGCCGAAUUGACUUCUUAGAGGGACUAGUGAUUUUAAUUCACACGAGAUUGAGCAAUAACAGGUCUGUGA